rnacentral:lncRNA from 1 species
GGACAAUAAAGAGCAGUGCAAACAGGAGCUUUCAUCUAAACUUAUGAUCCACUUGUUUUUGAAAUUGAGUUUUUCCUUUAACCAUUUGCAUGUUUUGAGGAAAGCCUUAAUAAAUUACUUUUCUUUAGAUUAUGGGAAGUAAUUUGAGUAUUAUUAGCUCAUUUUGCAUAUUAAAAUAAAGUGUCUCCUGCUAAUUUGAUUUCCAGUUCAAGUUCUGCAGUUUAAGUCUCCCUCAUGGGAUUUAACUAGUUACCUUACUACAGGAUUAAGAUGUGCUGGAGGACAGAUGUAAAUAAUCCAUCAUAUGCAGCUGAUACUGCAUAGAUAUUUUUAUAAUAUCUUCCUCUGUUGUUGCUGUGACACUGCAAGUUUUGAUAAAAAAUACAGGAGCUGGAGAACUCAAUUGCUACAGGAGCUACUAGGGUAAAGGAAAUUCUGGAUUUGUCACUUAGCUUGAAGUGUUGGUGUCCAGUGGGUAGCUUUAUGGUUUUUUUAACCUGAAAAAGCUAUAAUAUAUAUGGCCCAGCUCUUCUUAGAGACCUAGGAAGGUCUAGCAGACAUCUCUGGUGUGCUAGUGACCUGCCAAGUGAUCAUGUUUUGGGGAGAUGGAGGCCAAGGGAGAGUUUAAGACAACUGAAAGAGAUGAGUCUGAAGUACUAAAUUGCCUCCAUAACUGCUCUUGCUGUUCCUGCAGUCCUGCUGGUCCAGAUUCCAGUGGUAGCUCUUGAGUUGAAAGGUUAAUGACUCAUUUUCUGAGCAGUGCAGUUUUCUUUCAUUUUUCAUUUACAAUUAUCUCCACUGCUUUAAAAACUGAAAGGCACUUCCAAAAAGCGUUGUACUCAGGCGUUAUUGCUGUCAAUUAAAGUUAUUAAAUCAUACAUCUUCACAAAUGAAAUCCAAAUACACCAUUAAUAUGUUUCCGUUGCUCUAUUGCCACUCCAUUAUGGAAGUGACAAGUGAGGUAUUGAAGCAGCUCUGGAAGUUGGUGGCUACAACCAUGUACAAAUUUUGAAUACUGCUAAAUGCUGCUUAGCAAAAAGCAUGCCUACUAAUUCCACCAAUCUUCACAACGUGUUCCUAUUUGGGGUUUGUCUCAAUACCACUGGAAGGGUUUGAACUUUUGGAUUUCGGAUGUGCUUUUUUGAUAUUUUUUUAACCUGUUCAUUUUCCAUCAAAGGAGGUCACCUCUUCACCUUUCUUUUAAUCUUUCCUCCCAUUCAGACCCU